AAGCUCGUAGUUGAAUUUCGGGAUCAAUGGAUUGGUCAUGCCGAUGGUAUGUACUGGUCAUAUUGGUUCUCACCUUCUAAGGAACCAUAAUGUCAUUUAUUUGAUGUUGUGGGGAAUUAGGACUGUUACCUUGAAAAAAUUAGAGUGUUUAAAGCAGGCUAACGCUUGAAUACAUUAGCAUGGAAUAAUGAAAUAGGACAUCGCAUUCUAUUUUGUUGGUUUCUAGGAUCGAUGUAAUGAUUAAUAGGGAUAGUUGGGGGCAUUAGUAUUCAAUUGUCAGAGGUGUAAUUCUUGGAUUUAUUGAAGACUAACUACUGCGAAAGCAUUUGCCAAGGAUGUUUUCAUUAAUCAAGAACGAAAGUUAGGGGAUCGAAGACGAUCAGAUACCGUCGUAGUCUUAACCAUAAACUAUGCCGACUAGGGAUCGGAUGAUGUUGAUUUUUUAAUGACUCAUUCGGCGCCUUACGGGAAACCAAAGUGUUUGGGUUCCGGGGGGAGCAUGGUCGCAAGGCUGAAACUUAAAGGAAUUGACGGAAGGGCACCACCAGGGGUGGAGCCUGCGGCUUAAUUUGACUCAACACGGGGAAACUCACCAGGUCCAGACAUAGUAAGGAUUGACAGAUUGAGAGCUCUUUCUUGAUUCUAUGGGUG
rnacentral:rRNA from 1 species